UUUCCGUAGGUGAACCUGCGGAAGGAUCAUUACCGCGUGAGGGACUCUCAGGCCCGACCCCCUACCCUCCCUUUUUGUCACGUUGUUGCUUUGGCGCACCCGCCUCCGUCAGAAGCCGCCUGAAGCUCACCGCUUUGGGCCCGUUACCCACGCCCGCCCCCUUCAAUUCCUCUUAAACCUGUCGUUCGUGUUCAUGGCUAUAAUAAAAAACAACCUUUAACCACUGACCUCUUGGUCCUCGCAUCGUUGAAGAACGCAGCAGAUCGGAUGAGCACACGU
rnacentral:misc_RNA from 1 species